rnacentral:pre_miRNA from 1 species
AUGUAGUGUAGCAUUCCCGUUGUGGAAAUACUCUGAUGAAUAUUUGUUAUUUAAUUUUUUUGGGGUAACGGGGUGUUACAUCUAA